UGGGGAAUUUUGGACAAUGGGCGAAAGCCUGAUCCAGCAAUGCCGCGUGUGUGAAGAAGGCCUUCGGGUUGUAAAGCACUUUUGUCCGGAAAGAAAUCCUUGGCUCUAAUACAGUCGGGGGAUGACGGUACCGGAAGAAUAAGCACCGGCUAACUACGUGCCAGCAGCCGCGGUAAUACGUAGGGUGCAAGCGUUAAUCGGAAUUACUGGGCGUAAAGCGUGCGCAGGCGGUUUGCUAAGACCGAUGUGAAAUCCCCGGGCUCAACCUGGGAACUGCAUUGGUGACUGGCAGGCUAGAGUAUGGCAGAGGGGGGUAGAAUUCCACGUGUAGCAGUGAAAUGCGUAGAGAUGUGGAGGAAUACCGAUGGCGAAGGCAGCCCCCUCGGCAAGUACUGACGCUCAUGCACGAAAGCGUGGGGAGCAAACAGGAUUAGAUACCCUGGUAGUCCACGCCCUAAACGAUGUCAACUAGUUGUUGGGGGAUUCAUUUCCUUAGUAACGUAGCUAACGCGUGAAGUUGACCGCCUGGGGAGUACGGUCGCAAGAUUAAAACUUAAAUGAAUUGACGGGGU
rnacentral:rRNA from 1 species